rnacentral:rRNA from 1 species
GACGAACGCUGGCGGCGUGCUUAACACAUGCAAGUCGAACGGAAAGGCCCUGCUUUUGUGGGGUGCUCGAGUGGCGAACGGGUGAGUAACACGUGAGUAACCUGCCCUUGACCUUGGGAUAACUUCAGGAAACUGGGGCUAAUACCGGAUAGGAGCUCCUGCUGCAUGGUGGGGGUUGGAAAGUUUCGGCGGUUGGGGAUGGACUCGCGGCUUAUCAGCUUGUUGGUGGGGUAGUGGCAUACCAAGGCUUUGACGGGUAGCCGGCCUGAGAGGGUGACCGGCCACAUUGGGACUGAGAUACGGCCCAGACUCCUACGGGAGGCAGCAGUGGGGAAUAUUGCACAAUGGGCGGAAGCCUGAUGCAGCAACGCCGCGUGCGGGAUGACGGCCUUCGGGUUGUAAACCGCUUUCGCCUGUGACGAAGCGUGAGUGACGGUAAUGGGUAAAGAAGCACCGGCUAACUACGUG